rnacentral:rRNA from 1 species
AGGAGAGUUUGAUCCUGGCUCAGGAUGAACGCUAGCUACAGGCUUAACACAUGCAAGUCGCGGGGCAUCGCGGUAAGUAGCAAUACUUUCUGGCGGCGACCGGCGGAUGGGUGAGUAACGCGUAUCCAACCUGGCCCUAUCUCGGGGACAGCCCCUCGAAAGAGGGAUUAAUACCCGAUGUUCCCUGGUUUCCGCAUGUUUACCAGGGCAAAGGCUUUUGUCGGAUAGGGAUGGGGAUGCGUUCCAUUAGGCAGUCGGCGGGGUAACGGCCCACCGAGCCUACGAUGGAUAGGGGUUCUGAGAGGAAGGCCCCCCACACUGGGACUGAGACACGGCCCAGACUCCUACGGGAGGCAGCAGUGAGGAAUAUUGGUCAAUGGCGGCAACGCUGAACCAGCCAAGUAGCGUGAGGGAUUACUGCCCUAUGGGUUUUAAACCUCUUUUGUUGGGGAGCAACCGGUGCCACUUGUGGCACCCUGCGAGUACCCUUCGAAUAAGCAUCGGCUAACUCCGUGCCAGCAGCCGCGGUAAUACGGAGGAUGCGAGCGUUAUCCGGAUUUAUUGGGUUUAAAGGGAGCGCGGACCGGAGAUUAAGUCAGCUGUUAAAUGGCGGCGCCCAACGUCGUCCUGCGGUUGAUACUGGUUUCCUUGAGUGCGGUAUGGGCAUGCGGAAUUCACGGUGUAGCGGUGAAAUGCUUAGAUAUCGUGAAGAACUCCGAUCGCGAAGGCAGCGUGCCGGACCGUUACUGACGUUUAGGCUCGAAAGUGCGGGUAUCAAACAGGAUUAGAUACCCUGGUAGUCCCCU